AUUUAGCUGACGAGUCCCCAAUAGGAGGAAACACUUGUCCUUGAU
rnacentral:hammerhead_ribozyme from 1 species